UACGGAAGGCAGCAGUGGGGAAUAUUGCACAAUGGGCGCAAGCCUGAUGCAGCCAUGCCGCGUGUAUGAAGAAGGCCUUCGGGUUGUAAAGUACUUUCAGUCGUGAGGAAGGUGUUAAGGUUAAUAACCUUAGCAAUUGACGUUAGCGACAGAAGAAGCACCGGCUAACUCCGUGCCAGCAGCCGCGGUAAUACGGAGGGUGCGAGCGUUAAUCGGAAUUACUGGGCGUAAAGGGCACGCAGGCGGUUAAUUAAGUUGGAUGUGAAAUCCCCGGGCUUAACCUGGGAAUGGCAUUCAAGACUGGUUAGCUAGAGUCUUGUAGAGGGGGUAGAAUUCCAUGUGUAGCGGUGAAAUGCGUAGAGAUGUGGAGGAAUACCGGUGGCGAAGGCGGCCCCUGGACAAAGACUGACGCUCAUGUGCGAAGCGUGGGGAGCGAAACAGGAUUAGAUACC
rnacentral:rRNA from 1 species